rnacentral:rRNA from 1 species
GACGAACGCUGGCGGCGUGCUUAACACAUGCAAGUCGAACGGAAAGGCCCGGCUUUUGUGGGGUGCUCGAGUGGCGAACGGGUGAGUAACACGUGAGUAACCUGCCCUUGACUUUGGGAUAACUUCAGGAAACUGGGGCUAAUACCGGAUAGGAGCUCCUGCUGCAGGGUGGGGGUUGGAAAGUUUCGGCGGUUGGGGAUGGACUCGCGGCUUAUCAGCUUGUUGGUGGGGUAGUGGCUUACCAAGGCUUUGACAGGUAGCCGGCCUGAGAGGGUGACCGGCCACAUUGGGACUGAGAUACGGCCCAGCCUCCUACGGGAGGCAGCAGUGGGGAAUAUUGCACAAUGGGCGGAAGCAUGAUGCAGCAACGCCGCGUGCGGGAUGACGGCCUUCGGGUUGUAAUCCGCUUUCGCCUGUGACGAAGCGUGAGUGACGGUAAUGGGUAAAGAAGCACCGGCUAACUACGUG